rnacentral:lncRNA from 1 species
CAGACCAGUGAGCAUAAGUACAUCAACAAGGGUAGGAGAAGCAGGGCUAUGACCAAACAAGAAAGCAUUAAGGGUGUCUGACCAGAAAUACGAGGCUGCUAUCAGUAGUGAUUCAUUUCUUUCCAUAUCGGCGAGAGACAGCCUGAUGCAUUGGUGUAAUUUACGUUCAGCCCAUUGGACUUCGUUUGAGUUGCCGAUUCUCAAGAACCAAUCCGUCCAUCCCUUAGUAGAACUAGGCCAAGAUCAGAAGGUAUCUUUCCAUAGAUCUAAGGAGAAAUUUUCAGCUCUAAAGGGGAUUCUAUUUGUCUCUGCGUUGAUCAGAUCAACAGGAUCCGGGUUACCCAAUGGCCCAAGACAUUGAAAGUGGGGUUUAAAGGUUGGAAGAACAGAAAAAAGGAAAAAAGAAAGAAAGAAUGUACUCAGUAAAUAGAUUUGCGGAAGAUAAAAGUACGACAAGAAAAAGAAGAUGAAGAGAGUUGACCUCAGGGACAGUGAAGUUGAUGGCCAUUUUCUUCCCG